rnacentral:rRNA from 1 species
CAAUAGCGUAUAUUAAAGUUGUUGCAGUUAAAAAGUUCGUAGUUGGAUUUCUGGUGGGAGCGAUCGGUCUGGCGCUUAGCGCGAGUACUUGCAUCGUCUCCGGCCAUCCUUGGGGAAAGUCUGUCUGGCAUUAAGUUGUCGGGCAGAGGAUCCUCAUCGUUUACUGUGAAAAAAUUAGAGUGUUCAAAGCAGGCUUAUGCCGUUGAAUAUAUUAGCAUGGAAUAAUAAGAUAGGACUUUGGUACUAUUUUGUUGGUUUGCGCACCAAAGUAAUGAUUAAUAGGGACAGUUGGGGGUAUUCGUAUUCCGUUGUCAGAGGUGAAAUUCUUGGAUUUACGGAAGACGAACUACUGCGAAAGCAUUUACCAAGGAUGUUUUCAUUAA